rnacentral:rRNA from 1 species
AUUGAACGCUGGCGGCAGGCCUAACACAUGCAAGUCGAGCGAGAGGCGGACGGGGGAGUAAUGUGUGGGAAACUGCCUGAUGGAGGGGGGGAACAACUGGAAACGGUGGCUAAUACCGCAUACCAUCUGAUGUGCCCAGAUGUGGUUAGCUAGGAGGUGGGGUAAUGGCUCACCUAGGCGACGAUCCCUAGCUGGUCUGAGAGGAUGACCAGCCACACUGGAACUGAGACACGGUCCAGACUCCUACGGGAGGCAGCAGUGGGGAAUAUUGCACAAUGGGCGCAAGCCUGAUGCAGCCAUGCCGCGUGUGUGAAGAAGGCCUUCGGGUUGUAAAGCACUUUCAGCGGGGAGGCGUUACCCGCAGAAGAAGCACCGGCUAACUCCGUGCCAGCAGCCGCGGUAAUUC